UACAGGGGGUGCAAACGUUGCUCGGAAUCAUUGGGCGUAAAGCGCACGUAGGCGGUUCGUUAUGUCGGAUGUGAAAGCCCUUGGCUUAACCGAGGAAGUGCAUCCGAAACUGGCGAGCUAGAGUACUAAAGAGGAUCGCGGAAUUCCCGGUGUAGAGGUGAAAUUCGUAGAUAUCGGGAGGAACACCGGUGGCGAAGGCGGAUCUCUGGACAGCUCCUGACGCUGAGGCGCGAAGGCUAGGGGAGCAAACGGG
rnacentral:rRNA from 1 species